rnacentral:rRNA from 1 species
AUACGUAGGUGGCGAAGCGUUGUCCGGAAUUAUUGGGCGUAAAGGAUGCGUAGGUGGAUAUUUAAGUGGGAUGUGAAAUCCCCGGGCUCAACCCGGGAACUGCAUUCCAAACUGGGUAUCUAGAGUGCAGGAGAGGAAAGCGGAAUUCCUAGUGUAGCGGUGAAAUGCGUAGAUAUUAGGAGGAACACCAGUGGCGAAGGCGGCUUUCUGGACUGUAACUGACACUGAGGCAUGAAAGCGUGGGUAGC